rnacentral:lncRNA from 10 species
UAAAAUUCACAGAUUCCCAGGGGUUUGAAGACAGUAUUCCCAAUUUGGAAUGUAGUCCUGACUAUCCCAAGGAUCUUGGAAUCUCAGGGUUAGAAGGGAUCUUAAAAAUCACCCAUUUUAACCUCCCCUCAAUGCAGGAAUUCUCUCUAAAGCCUCCUCAACAGGCGGCCAACCCCCAUAUCCGCCUGAAUGCUUCCAGAGAAGGCGAGUCGAAUCCUUUG